rnacentral:rRNA from 1 species
GGAGACAGGUGCUGCAUGGCUGUCGUCAGCUCGUGUCGUGAGAUGUUGGGUUAAGUCCCGCAACGAGCGCAACCCUUGCCUUUAGUUGCCAGCAGUUCAGCUGGGCACUCUAAAGGGACUGCCGGUGUUAAACCGGAGGAAGGUGGGGAUGACGUCAAGUCCUCAUGGCCUUUAUGACCAGGGCUACACACGUACUACAAUGGCCGAUACAAAGGGCAGCGACACUGCGAGGUGAAGCCAAUCCCGUAAAAUCGGUCUCAGUCCGGAUUGGAGUCUGCAACUCGACCCCAUGAAGUUGGAAUCGCUAGUAAUCGUGGAUCAGCAUGCCACGGUGAAUACGUUCCCGGGCCUU